rnacentral:rRNA from 1 species
AGAGUUGAUCAUGGCUCAGGAUGAACGCUGGCGGCGUGCCUAACACAUGCAAGUCGAGCGAGAAACUCAUGACCAAUACUCGGUUGCGUGAUUGAGCGGAAAGCGGCGGACGGGUGAGUAACGCGUAGGCAACCUGCCCCUUGCAGAGGGAUAGCCUCGGGAAACCGGGACUAAAACCUCAUAAUGCCGAGAGUCGACAUCUUCUUUCGGCCAAAGAUUUAUCGGCAAGGGAUGGGCCUGCGUCUGAUUAGCUGGUUGGUGGGGUAACGGCCUACCAAGGCAACGAUCAGUAGCCGACCUGAGAGGGUGAUCGGCCACAUUGGAACUGAGACACGGUCCAAACUCCUACGGGAGGCAGCAGUGGGGAAUAUUGCACAAUGGGCGAAAGCCUGAUGCAGCAACGCCGCGUGAAGGAUGAAGGCCCUUGGGUCGUAAACUUCUGUUCUAAGGGAAGAUAAUGACGGUACCUUAGGAGCAAGUCCCGGCUAACUACGUGCCAGCAGCGGC